UACGGGGGGGGCAAGCGUUGUUCGGAAUUACUGGGCGUAAAGGGCUCGUAGGCGGCCAACUAAGUCAGACGUGAAAUCCCUCGGCUUAACCGGGGAACUGCGUCUGAUACUGGAUGGCUUGAGUUUGGGAGAGGGAUGCGGAAUUCCAGGUGUAGCGGUGAAAUGCGCAGAUAUCAGGAGGAACACCAAUGGCGAAGGCAGCUCGCUGGAACGGUACUGACGCUGAGGCGCGAAAGCGUGGGGAGCGAACAGG
rnacentral:rRNA from 1 species